GAUCAGUGAUGAAACCUGUCCCAAAGCUGAUUACCUGAAGAAAAGCAUGCAUGGAU
rnacentral:snoRNA from 1 species